UACGUAGGGGGCAAGCGUUGUCCGGAAUCCUUGGGCGUAAAGAGCGUGUAGGCGGCCCGAUAAGUCCGCUGUGAAAGUCCAGGGCUCAACCCUGGGAUGCCGGUGGAUACUGUCGGGCUCGAGUCCGGAAGAGGCGAGUGGAAUUCCCGGUGUAGCGGUGAAAUGCGCAGAUAUCGGGAGGAACACCUAUGGCGAAGGCAGCUCGCUGGGACGUUACUGACGCUGAGACGCGAAAGCGUGGGGAGCAAACAGG
rnacentral:rRNA from 1 species